rnacentral:tmRNA from 1 species
GGCCUUUCAAAUCUCCAUGGGAAUCCCUAUAUUAAGGGUGCCGUUUCGGCGGCUAUGGCGAUAAACGUCAUGUGAAAUAAGCGUUGCGGACCCGGGGGCAGUACCC